CUAAAUAAUAUUUUAUACCAGCCCAGAGCCAUUUUUAUUUUACAACAACGAAAUUAAUAAUAAUCGUAUUAUUAUCUUCUCUUCAAAAACGUGCCACGAAAUUUUAUCUGAAACUAAAAUUAUUUAAUGGACAGAACAUUUUCUACUUGUCCUUCUGAAUUCUACCAAGUUAUCAAGGAAGUAUUUCAUGAUGAAAUAUCGGUGCAGUUAUGCUAUUAUCAUUUAAACUAGUCCACCUUAAGAAAAGUUAAAGACUUAGGUUUGGCUAUAAAAUAUAAAGAAGACUAGAACUUCAGAUCAGCCGUAAAAAUGAUUCCUGGAUCAGAAUUUCUUCCAACCAAUACUGUAAAAAGAGCGAUAUCAAUACUAUUCAAUUCUAGAACAGGGGUGGCAAACUUAUGGGGCGUGUGCAAAAGAUGGCACGUUGACCAAAUUUUAAUGACAUGCACCAAAAAUUGAAAUUAUUAAAAAUUGUACACAAAAAAAAAAAAUUGUACUAUUUGUAAAAUGUUGAUUAUAAGAAAUUCAAAGAAACAAAUUACAGUGGAGCGUCGAUUAUCCGCACGUCAAUUAUUCAAACUACAAAAUUUUUGAGUACAAAUUUAUUUUUAGUUUAAUUUAAUUUAGUUUUACCAUUCGUUAUGUUAU